rnacentral:lncRNA from 1 species
ACACUCGUCUCACCUCAAAGUCCUGCGCACCUACCCUUCACGUCUCUCCAAAGCAACUGAAUUAAAGCGCCUACUGGCCUUGGCGGCGCAGGUCCCAAGAUUUUGACUGCUUGAUUGUACGACUAGAGUUGCUGGAGUUCAAGUAUUUUCAUUUUAAGUAUUCAACUGAAAGCAGUGCGUUACAACAGAACAUGGGUUCCAAAGAAUUUACUGAGAAGCAGCAAAGUAAUACUUGGGAGAACUAUAAUACACAGGCAUCUCAUGAAAAUCAACCAACAUAUAGAAGAAUAUAUAGAAUAAAGCAAAAAUCAUCAGAAACUCCACAGUCUUGGAUGACCAUAGUUGAUAUUCUGAAUGGCUUCUGUUCCGAUUGAACCUUGACUGAUGUAGCACCUAUCACCAAAUUGCUGUUCAGGAAAUAUGUCCUAAAGAAACUCCCAACAACAGCAAUACAUCAGAGUGGCACCUCUUUACACUGGUUCUUGAAAGAAAAACAAAAGUGUCCAAGUGACUCAUCUUACAGCACCACUGGAGAAAGCAUGGCAGAGCUUCAUUAGAACUAAAUUUUAACAAGUGGCUAAAGCAGAGAGCACAGGGAAUAUGAUUUCUUCUGUGAUCACUCUGCCAGCCCUUGUUCUCCCAUUAGGAG